rnacentral:rRNA from 1 species
UACGUAGGGUGCUAGCGUUGUUCGGAAUCAUUGGGCGUAAAGCGCGUGUAGGUGGCUGUGUAAGUCGGAUGUGAAAUCCCUGGGCUCAACCGAGGAAGUGCAUCCGAAACUACAUAGCUCGAGGAUGGUAGAGGAAGGUGGAAUUCCAAGUGUAGAGGUGAAAUUCGUAGAUAUUUGGAGGAAUACCGGCGGCGAAGGCGGCCUUCUGGGCCAUUCCUGACACUGAGACGCGAAAGCGUGGGGAGCAAACAGG